GACGAACGCUGGCGGCGUGCUUAACACAUGCAAGUCGAACGGAAAGGCCCUGCUUUUGUGGGGUUCUCGAGUGGCGAACGGGUGAGUAACACGUGAGUAACCUGCCCUUGACUUUGGGAUAACUUCAGGAAACUGGGGCUAAUACCGGAUAGGAGCUCCUGCUGCAUGGUGGGGGUUGGAAAGUUUCGGCGGUUGGGGAUGGACUCGCGGCUUAUCAGCUUGUUGGUGGGGUAGUGGCUUACCAAGGCUUUGACGGGUAGCCGGCCUGAGAGGGUGACCGGCCACAUUGGGACUGAGAUACGGCCCAGACUCCUACGGGAGGCAGCAGUGGGGAAUAUUGCACAAUGGGCGGACGCCUGAUGCAGCAACGCCGCGUGCGGGAUGACGGCCUUCGGGUUGUAAACCGCUUUCGCCUGUGACGAAGCGUGAGUGACGGUAAUGGGUAAAGAAGCACCGGCUAACUACGUG
rnacentral:rRNA from 1 species